GUGAGGAUGCCUGACGGGGAUUCAGCAGAACGUUACCAGGAAGAAAUCCAGUAAAGCCGGCUAAAUUGGCAGCAGUGGACAGUGGGUAUGAGCACUUUGGCUGACUGCUGUUUAAUGAUGCA